rnacentral:rRNA from 1 species
UACGGAGGAUUCAAGCGUUAUCCGGAUUUAUUGGGUUUAAAGGGUGCGUAGGCGGUUUGAUAAGUUAGAGGUGAAAUCCCGGGGCUUAACUCCGGAACUGCCUCUAAUACUGUUAGACUAGAGAGUAGUUGCGGUAGGCGGAAUGUAUGGUGUAGCGGUGAAAUGCUUAGAGAUCAUACAGAACACCGAUUGCGAAGGCAGCUUACCAAACUAUAUCUGACGUUGAGGCACGAAAGCGUGGGGAGCAAACA